CGGAGAGUUUGAUCCUGGCUCAGGAUGAACGCUGGCGGCGUGCCUAAUACAUGCAAGUCGAACGCACAGCGAAAGGUGCUUGCACCUUUCAAGUGAGUGGCGAACGGGUGAGUAACACGUGGACAACCUGCCUCAAGGCUGGGGAUAACAUUUGGAAACAGAUGCUAAUACCGAAUAAAACUUAGUGUCGCAUGACAMAAAGUUAAAAGGCGCUUCGGCGUCACCUAGAGAUGGAUCCGCGGUGCAUUAGUUAGUUGGUGGGGUAAAGGCCUACCAAGACAAUGAUGCAUAGCCGAGUUGAGAGACUGAUCGGCCACAUUGGGACUGAGACACGGCCCAAACUCCUACGGGAGGCUGCAGUAGGGAAUCUUCCACAAUGGGCGAAAGCCUGAUGGAGCAACGCCGCGUGUGUGAUGAAGGCUUUCGGGUCGUAAAGCACUGUUGUAUGGGAAGAACAGCUAGAAUAGGAAAUGAUUUUAGUUUGACGGUACCAUACCAGAAAGGGACGGCUAAAUACGUGCCAGCAGCCGCGGUAAUACGUAUGUCCCGAGCGUUAUCCGGAUUUAUUGGGCGUAAAGCGAGCGCAGACGGUUUAUUAAGUCUGAUGUGAAAGCCCGGAGCUCAACUCCGGAAUGGCAUUGGAAACUGGUUAACUUGAGUGCAGUAGAGGUAAGUGGAACUCCAUGUGUAGCGGUGGAAUGCGUAGAUAUAUGGAAGAACACCAGUGGCGAAGGCGGCUUACUGGACUGCAACUGACGUUGAGGCUCGAAAGUGUGGGUAGCAAACAGGAUUAGAUACCCUGGUAGUCCACACCGUAAACGAUGAGCACUAGGUGUUAGGAGGUUUCCGCCUCUUAGUGCCGAAGCUAACGCAUUAAGUGUUCCGCCUGGGGAGUACGACCGCAAGGUUGAAACUCAAAGGAAUUGACGGGGACCCGCACAAGCGGUGGAGCAUGUGGUUUAAUUCGAAGCAACGCGAAGAACCUUACCAGGUCUUGACAUCCUUUGAAGCUUUUAGAGAUAGAAGUGUUCUCUUCGGAGACAAAGUGACAGGUGGUGCAUGGUCGUCGUCAGCUCGUCUCGUGAGAUGUUGGGUUAAGUCCCGCAACGAGCGCAACCCUUAUUGUUAGUUGCCAGCAUUCAGAUGGGCACUCUAGCGAGACUGCCGGUGACAAACCGGAGGAAGGCGGGGACGACGUCAGAUCAUCAUGCCCCUUAUGACCUGGGCUACACACGUGCUACAAUGGCGUAUACAACGAGUUGCCAACCCGCGAGGGUGAGCUAAUCUCUUAAAGUACGUCUCAGUUCGGAUUGUAGUCUGCAACUCGACUACAUGAAGUCGGAAUCGCUAGUAAUCGCGGAUCAGCACGCCGCGGUGAAUACGUUCCCGGGUCUUGUACACACCGCCCGUCACACCAUGGGAGUUUGUAAUGCCCAAAGCCGGUGGCCUAACCUUUUAGGAAGGAGCCGUCUAAGGCAGGACAGAUGACUGGGGUGAAGUCGUAACAAGGUAGCCGUAGGAGAACCUGCGGCUGGAUCACCUCCUU
rnacentral:rRNA from 1 species